CUUGGGAAGGAUGUGACAGGGAUGUCCAUGUUUCAUAUUGUGCUCCUCCACCUCCAAUAUACAUGAACCUGAAUUACAUAAUGCAAAGAAACAAAAUCAUAAUUAGGCCAUCCAACUGAGAGUUAAACAGAUGAGUGUGCAGCAAUAAUCUUGGAAAAACAACAAAAAAUUACAGCUAGAAGAACCAGACUAUUUGUCAACUUAAAAUGUGUUACAUAUAUGUCUUUACCGUCUUUCCGAGAUACUCUACAUUCAUUCGUCAAAGUGGAAACUGAACUAUCUGUUGGUCAAAUAAUCCAGGAGAUGAUUAAAUAAAUAAGCAUCUACAGAUAAGAUGCACGAAUGGAGCUGGACAGUAGGGUACUACUUGCAGUGAUGAUCUGCAAAAAAAUUUGUGGGCCACACUUUCAAAUAGAUUCUUCUUUAUUCCAAUGAUAACAGUGCGACCUGAAUAAUUUUUGUCGUAGUUAUAGAAAGAUAAUAAAGUAGUAUAUCUGACCAUCAAAAUAAUAAAAGAGUGGUAUCUAUAUGUUCUAUAAAAACCUUGGGCAUAUUAAGCCACAAGAAGCUAUUCGAAAUUAGUAUAAUAAGCAUAUAAAGACCACACUCUAGAUUAUAUUCUUUUUUAAUCCAAUGGCAACUUGCUAUGAUCAUGGAUCACCUGCAUAUUUUUUCAGGCACUUAUAGGAAGAUAUUAAAAUAGUAUGUUCGACCAUAAAAAACAGUGGUAUAUACAUGUUCUGUAACAACCUUGGGCAUAUUAAACCACCAGAAACCAUUAUAAAUGCAUACAAUGACCAUAUAAAGACCACAUUCUAAAAUAUAUAUUUUUAAUCCAAUGGUAACAUGCUAUGAUCACCUGCAUAAUUUUUGUGGCACUUAUAGGACGACAUUAAAAUAGUAUGUUUUACCAUCGAUGAACUAACAAAACAGUGAUAACUUAUAUGUUCUAUAAAAUUAACUCCGCUGUCAAGUUAACAGACACAUGACUAUCUUCCUAAAAAAUAUGAACCCGAUAUUAUUAAAUAAACUAUGGUUCAAAUGUCUACUCCUAAAAAAAAUCAGUAUCCGUUAUCUGGAAUUAAGGAAUCAAAUGGUAAAGUGGUAACAGGAUAGGUGAUAUUGAGGAGGUUGAUGGUGAGUUAGGUUUAACGGGUGCCCCUCAUGGAGUUAGGUGACAGGCUGAAUAGCGACCUUGUUCGGCUCCGUGGUUGCUUAGACAUAAUGGCAUCGCCUUGCUCAUGCGCGGAGGCGAGCUAUAAAUCGGUAAGUCAACCAACCGCCUCAAUCCUUAAAAUACCAAAAAGAGUUCGAUUUCUAGAUAUAAUUCAUUCAUGACACAUUGCUAACCAUUUAUAUUACAUAAUGGUAUGUUGGAUGACAUCUACAUGUUUUUUGCUACAAAUCCGCGUCUGAGGCAUAUCCUCGAAGUAAAACCAUGAACACGUAAUGCAAAAUAGUAGAAGCUGAAAAAGAAAAGUACCUGCACAGACCAGCAGCGGUGAACCAACCUAGAGGAGCAACAAUCGUAGAUCCUGUGUUGUUCCCAGCAGAACAGCACCACCAGCCACCAAUCAGCAAUGAAGAACAACAAACUUAACAAAUCCUAUCCACACAGCAAAUCACAGUAAAUAGACCUCGAUAAGCAUGCAGACAGGUCAAAGCGAGUACAAGACCAAGCAAGGGAGCAAGAAGGAACCUCUUCCAUCUCCGUCAGGCAGCCAAGGUGAUAACAAGUGCACGAUGAACAUGUCACCGCCCCCCGAUCCAGUUGUGGGAUAACGAACGAAUCAGGAACAAACACAUAAUAGAUAGCUAGGAGAGGAUCGAACGAGGGCAAGAGAACUCCUGCCUUGGCGCGAGGUGCCUAGCUCAUGACUGGAGGAGAAGCGAGCAAGUCAGCAGGCCAACCAAUCAAAUGAAAUGACCAUGUUGUCAAUACCGACGAUCAUUGCUCCCUCCAACUCAAGGUCACCGCUCUCUGGUAUCCUCCUCAGCCUGCCCAGUCUCGCACCCUCAGUGUCAAAUGUAGCAUCCAGCCCUGCACCACAACCAUAAAAAGCUACAGAAUUGACAAUUCGUUCAUAUCAAUCAAGUGAUGAGAUAAUCAGAAUCAUCGCAUUUUAAGAGACCAUGGACCGUAUGCUAUUACUUUGGCAACCUAUAGGAGUUAUAACAACAAUAUGCACUUUAUACUUUGUAGUGAAAUUGUGCCUUUAUGCUUUGUAGUGAAAUUGCGGUUAUCCUGGGCAACAACUACACUUUGUUUUGAUGUAUAUUUACUCUGUAUGCUCUGUACUGAACUUAUUUAUAUUGGUCAGCAACUAUACCUUGCUCUUGAUAUGUCUUUGUAAACACAUUUAUUCACGGUUACUCUGUACUAAACAUAUCCCUUGAACCGGAAGUUUCGUUGUAUUGUUGAAUAUGUGCGCUAAACCAUGCUUCCUACUAACCGAUCAUUACCUAUUUGACCACAUCGUUGGGACCGGCACCCCCGCGCAAAGGCUCCUCCUACACCUACAUAUGACUGGAUGCUGGCGUUUACACCAUGGUUCUGACAUUAGUUAGGCACUGAACUAUGUUCAUCCAAAACUAGUGAUGGAGCAGCACCUCACGGUCACGAUAGAGAUAAAAAUUACCUGCUCAACACAGACAAUGGGAAUUAUCCAGCAGAUCUGGAGGACUGCACAUCUCCCCUUGGGAUCCAUCCCCUGCAAACAAACAAAUCAACAUAU
rnacentral:lncRNA from 1 species